ensembl:lncRNA
CAGUCCUGACCUGAAAUUUUGGGAGUUUUGGUAUCAUUUUUUUGUUAUCUUUUUUUGGUAAUCAUUUGGUAUUUCGUUUGAAAUAUUUAUCCUUUCAGUUUUUGUUAUUUACAAAAGCAACAAUUAAGCUAACACGAUCAAUGUCGUACUUUUGUUGUUCUUCCACUGAAAACGUUUUGUUGAUGAUGCUCACAAGGUCUCGUGUCCUCUGCGCCACGGUCUGCUUCGCGCGCUUUAUGCAGUGAAUGGGUUUCAUCUGGGUAACCUACUUCUUGAUGGGGAGGCGAGGAGAGAGCUCGGUUUGAUAGGAUGUCGGCGUAACUUGGCUAGAACGGCGCUUGAAAAGUAGCAACUGUUCUUGUGGAUGAGUGUGGCCUCUGAGGAAAGAGACAAAUGGGCUGUCGAGAGGAAGAGUUUGUCAUUUUAGUCUCCUCCAUACACAGGGUCUAUCUUUCAAGGCCUAUGAAUAACAGCACUACAAGAGAUCACUCCGCAGGGAAGUGGCUCCUACAUCGAAUGGUUGCAUGGAUGCAGGGAGGGAGAGUGAAUCCGCUCUUCCUUCUCCCCCCUUCCUUCCUUCAGUCUUCCAGGCAAAGAUUCCUCCUGCUGUUCAGAGAGCUGCCUGCGCCCGCCAUGCCACACACAUUCUGUUUGUUCUUCAUGAGCAAACAGAUUGUAAACUGGCUGAUCAUUUUUGUACUGACAAUGUCAUUUACGGCUGUCAGCCCCUCUCGUCUUGGCCUGUUUGCUUUAUUCAAAUAUGAGGGGAGUGGACCUCCCUCUGAAUUAAAAUCACAUCAGGCCCACUUCCAUUCCUGGCCUUAUCGCGAAUUCAUUGGAGGCAAUCACUUGGUUGACUGAUUGCUUUGCUGUUGCCAUGGAAACAAAAAAAAGUCUUGCAGGGGACUUCAAGCGGGUACUACGGACAUCUUGGAAGUCCUGAAGUGGCCAUGCAAUCUCUUUGUGUCUGUCUUCCACUGACUCCUGUGGCACUGAUAACAUGUCUAAUUUCACCUGAAAUUAAAGAAUGUCCUCCAUAUUUAAAACUGUACACAAUAUGUGAUGUUUGAAGAAUAAUUAUAGAUGUUUUUAAGUGUGCGUAUAACAAGAGAAAUUUCAAUUAUAGGCCCUCCUCGGUUGUUAGUUGUGCAUCGAAGGGAUAAAGGAA